CAGUAGCCACGGUAAUACGUAGGUGGCAAGCGUUGUCCGGAAUUAUUGGGCGUAAAGGGCUCGCAGGCGGUUUCUUAAGUCUGAUGUGAAAGCCCCCGGCUCAACCGGGGAGGGUCAUUGGAAACUGGGAAACUUGAGUGCAGAAGAGGAGAGUGGAAUCCCACGUGUAGCGGUGAGAUGCGUAGAGAUGUGGAGGAACACCAGUGGCGAAGGCGACUCUCUGGUCUGUAACUGACGCUGAGGAGCGAAAGCGUGGGGAGCGAACAGGAUUAGAGACCCCUGUAGUCCCUGUCUCUUAUAC
rnacentral:rRNA from 1 species